rnacentral:rRNA from 1 species
CGCUUACCACUUUGUGAUUCAUGACUGGGGUGAAGUCGUAACAAGGUAACCGUAAGGGAACCUGCGGUUGGAUCACCUCCUUA